ACGGCCGCGGUACCCUAACCGUGCAAAGGUAGCAUAAUCACUUGUUCUUUAAUUAGGGACUUGUAUCAACGGCACCACGAGGGUCGCACUGUCUCCUUUUUCUAAUCAGUGAAACUGAUCUCCCCGUGAAGAAGCGGGGAUAACAUUAUAAGACGAGAAGACCCCAUGGAGCUUUAAAGGCAACUACAACCCCACCAGCAGAGAUAUGCCUGUUAGUUUUAGGUUGGGGCGACCACGGAGUACAAAACAACCUCCAUGACGAAAAGAGCCAACCCUUAACCCCAGAGCCACCCCUCCAAGAAUUAGUAUACUAACAAUGACCCGACUAGAUCAACGAACCAAGUUACCCUGGGGAUAACAGCGCAAUCUACUCCAAGAGUCCCUAUCGACAAGUAGGCUUACGACCUCGAUGUUGGAUCAGGGCAUCCCAGUGGUGCAGCCGCUACU
rnacentral:rRNA from 1 species